rnacentral:rRNA from 1 species
UGGGGAAUUUUGGACAAUGGGCGCAAGCCUGAUCCAGCAAUGCCGCGUGAGUGAAGAAGGCCCUCGGGUUGUAAAGCUCUUUUGUCAGGGAAGAAAAGGUGAUCUCUAAUACAGGUCACUCAUGACGGUACCUGAAGAAUAAGCACCGGCUAACUACGUGCCAGCAGCCGCGGUAAUACGUAGGGUGCAAGCGUUAAACGGAAUUACUGGGCGUAAAGCGUGCGCAGGCGGUUAUAUAAGUCAGAUGUGAAAUCCCCGGGCUCAACCUGGGAACUGCAUUUGAGACUGUAUGGCUAGAGUGUGUCAGAGGGGGGUAGAAUUCCACGUGUAGCAGUGAAAUGCGUAGAUAUGUGGAGGAAUACCGAUGGCGAAGGCAGCCCCCUGGGAUAACACUGACGCUCAUGCACGAAAGCGUGGGGAGCAAACA